GCAGUCGACGGUAACAGGAAGAAGCUUGCUUCUUUGCUGACGAGUGGCGGACGGGUGAGUAAUGUCUGGGAAACUGCCUGAUGGAAGGGGAUAACUACUGGAAACGGUAGCUAAUACCGCAUAACGUCGCAAGACCAAAGAGGGGGACCUUCGGGCCUCUUGCCAUCGGAUGUGCCCAGAUGGGAUUAGCUAGUAGGUGGGGUAACGGCUCACCUAGGCGACGAUCCCUAGCUGGUCUGAGAGGAUGACCAGCCACACUGGAACUGAGACACGGUCCAGACUCCUACGGGAGGCAGCAGUGGGGAAUAUUGCACAAUGGGCGCAAGCCUGAUGCAGCCAUGCCGCGUGUAUGAAGAAGGCCUUCGGGUUGUAAGUACUUUCAGCGGGGAGGAAGGGAGUAAAGUUAAUACCUUUGCUCAUUGACGUUACCCGCAGAAGAAGCACCGGCUAACUCCGUGCCAGCAGCCGCGGUAAUACGGAGGGUGCAAGCGUUAAUCGGAAUUACUGGGCGUAAAGCGCACGCAGGCGGUUUGUUAAGUCAGAUGUGAAAUCCCCGGGCUCAACCUGGGAACUGCAUCUGAUACUGGCAAGCUUGAGUCUCGUAGAGGGGGGUAGAAUUCCAGGUGUAGCGGUGAAAUGCGUAGAGAUCUGGAGGAAUACC
rnacentral:rRNA from 1 species